AAUUUCCAGUCGAGUUCCUACGGGAGGCAGCAGGGGGGAAUUUUCCGCAAUGGUCGAAAGCCUGACGGAGCAAUACCGCGUGAGGGAAGACGGCCUAUGGGUUGUAAACCUCUUUUUUCAGGGAGGAAUCAAUGACGUGUACCUGAAGAAUAAGCAUCGGCUAACUCCGUGCCAGCAGCCGCGGUAAGACGGAGGAUGCAAGUGUUAUCCGGAAUCACUGGGCGUAAAGCGUCUGUAGGUGGUUGAACAAGUCAAUCUGUUAAAUAAAGAGGCUUANCUCCAAAAUCGCAGUCGAAACCGUUGCCUAGAGUAUGUAGGGAAUGAUCCC
rnacentral:rRNA from 1 species